rnacentral:misc_RNA from 1 species
GGAAGGAUCAUUAACACGUAUCCACGUAUUAACCAAAUGUGAACUUGUUUUCAACUCCCUGUAUUUGCACAUGAAUUGGAAAGGAAAUGAAAGUGUUUGAAUGGGACUUUCGGGUCGCCAUUUCAUUUUCUUAUACGCUUGACUUCGGUCGAGUAUACAAUUGUAGUGUUGAUCAGGCCAAAAUUUCUUAUAUGUUUUACUCCCCAUUCAAAGGUGAGCAUAUGAGAAGCUACUAAAUUAACUUAUUUCACCCCCUUUUUGCUAGUUGACUUUUUAUAUGUUGUUAUCUUUAUUGAAUUAAUUUUCUGUAAUGAUCUCACACGUUUAAUUACUUGAACGUUAAAAAUACAACUCUUAGCAAUGGAUAUCUAGGUUCUCGCAACGAUGAAGAACGCAGCGAAAUGCGAUACGUAAUGCGAAUUGCAGAAUUCAGUGAAUCAUCAAAUCUUUGAACGCAAAUUGCGCUCUUGGGUAGCCCUAGGAGCACGCCUCUCUCAGUAUCGGUUCAACAACCUCUCAGCAGCGUAUGCAAAUACGUGUUGGCUGGAAAAUGAGAGUCUGUACAUUUUAUUGCGCAGUCUCUUUAAAAAUAUGGAGUGAGUGCAUCAGACUAAUCAGCUUAAUCUUUUGGGAUUAAUAGCUGGUCUUGACUGUUGCGCUUGAGUGACGUGAAUACUGACCUUUAUGGUCUCCUUUUACGUUUAUCUUAAGUGUAAUAUUAUAAAGUUGAGAUCAGUGAACGUUUAGUUCGAACACUCAUGUAUCGUGGCGCAAGCUACAAUCGGCCCUAAUUAAUUUAAUUUAUUAAUUCGAGUCUGAAUUUUGAUCUGAGAUGAAGCGAGACAACCCCCUGAAUUUAAGCAUAUUAAUAAGGGGAGGAAAAGAAACUAACAAGGAUUCCCCCAGUAACGGCGAGUGAAGCGGGAAGAGCUCAAUUUGAAAAUCGAUUUCCUAAGCGGGACAUCGAAUUGUAGCCUAGAGACGUACUAUCAGCUGAAACCUGGGUAUAAGUUCUUUGGAAUGAGGCAUCAUAGAGGGUGAGAAUCCCGUAUAUGACCCAAAGCUUUCAGCGUACGAUGUAUGUUCAUCGAGUCGAGUUGUUUGGGAUUGCAGCUCUAAAUGGGUGGUAAGUUUCAUCUAAAGCUAAAUAAUGGCGAGAGACCGAUAGCGAACAAGUACCGUGAGGGAAAGAUGAAAAGAACUUUGAAAAGAGAGUUAAAAGUACUCGAAAUUGCUAAGAGGGAAGCGCUGUCAACCAGUGAUAUGCGUCAUUCAUCGCUUUCAGCCCCACUAGAUGUUGUGAGUAGUAUUUAACUCUGCUUGCGGCAUCGAAAAGGUGGUUGGGAGUUUAGGAUGGCGUGUCAGUCAAGAUCCAUUUGAUGAGUGGAAGAAAGGAGUGGGAAAGGUAGGACAUCCGUGUCUGUUAUAGUCCCAUUUCUCUACCUCGCGUUGGAUGGAGGAAGGAAUAGUGCGCCGCUUGCGGCUUAGUCCCGCGCUCCUGUGUACUCAGCUGCUCUGAUAGCAAUGCUAUCCUUGUGGUGAAGGUGCAUACUGGGUGCGAGGAUUCUAUGUGCUAUCACGAUCUUGUACGAAAUGGUUGUCAUCGACCCGUCUUGAAACACGGACCAAGGAGUCUAACAUCUAUGCGAGUAUUUGAGUGAAAAACUCUGAUGCGCAAUGAAAGUAAAGGUAGCUUCGGCUGCUGAGGUAGGAAUCCGGUCAAACGGAGGCACUAUCGACCGAUCAUCACUUGUGAAAGAUUUGAGUAAGAGCAUAUCUGUUGGGACCCGAAAGAUGGUGAUCUAUGCCUGAACAGGGUGAAGCCAGGGGAAACUCUGGUGGAGGCUCGUAGCGAUACUGACGUGCAAAUCGUUCGUCUGAUUUGGGUAUAGGGGCGAAAGACUAAUCGAACCAUCUAGUAGCUGGUUCCCUC